rnacentral:lncRNA from 1 species
UACUGGGUGUACCUCCUGGGUAGUUUGGAAAUCACCUAAUAUAUAUAUGUAUAUAUUUAUAAAUAAAAGUUAAUAUAUAUAAAUUAACAUUAAUUUUUUUUAACAGGAAAUGCACAAUGCUAAAAACUGCGUAGGAGAUUUUAAUACAAUAGUACUACCAAGCCUGAUGUUGGCCGCUAUUUCAAUGAAUGCAGCAGUGUCACAGCUAGCAAUCAAAAGUAACAAGAUAUUGAGGAAAUGCAGAUGGCAAUAAACUGUGUAGGAGUUCAUGAUUGCAAUAGAAUAAAAUCGACCAAGCCUGAAGUCAGCAGCCCCUUCAAUGAAUGCAGCAGUGUGACAGCCAGCAAUCAAAAGUUACAAGAUAUCGAGGAAAUGCAGAUGGCAAUAAACUGUGUAGGAGUUUAUGAUUGCAAUAGAAUAAAAUCGACCAAGCCUGAAGUCAGCAGCCCCUUCAAUGAAUGCAGCAGUGUGACAGCCAACAAUCAAAAGUUACAAGAUAUCGAGGAAAUGCAGAAGGCAAAAAACUGCGUAGGAGAUCAUUAAUACAAUAGUAUUAUAUAAACCAAGCCUGAUGUUGGCCGCUCAUUCAAAGAAUGCAGCAGUGUGACAGCCAGCAAUCAAAAGUAACAAGAUGUCGAGGAAAUGCAGAGUGCAAUAAACUGUGUAGGAGAUUAUGAUUGCAAUAGAAUAAAAUCGACCAAGCCUGAAGUUCUUCAAUGCACGCAGCAGUGUGACAGCCAGCAAUCAAAAGUUACAAGAUAUCGAGGAAAUGCAGAAGGCAAAAAACUGCGUAGGAGAUUAU